GACGAACGCUGGCGGCGUGCCUAACACAUGCAAGUCGAACGGAAUACAUUGAGUAGCAAUACGAGAUGUGUUUAGUGGCGAACGGGUGAGUAACGCGUGAGCAAUCUGCCUCAAAGCGGGGGACAACAUCUGGAAACGGAUGCUAAUACCGCAUAACAUCGUCUGAGGGCAUCUUCGGACGAUCAAAGCAGCAAUGCACUUUGAGAUGAGCUCGCGUCCGAUUAGAUAGUUGGCGGGGUAACGGCCCACCAAGUCGACGAUCGGUAGCCGGACUGAGAGGUUGAACGGCCACAUUGGGACUGAGAUACGGCCCAGACUCCUACGGGAGGCAGCAGUGGGGGAUAUUGCGCAAUGGGGGAAACCCUGACGCAGCAACGCCGCGUGAAGGAUGAAGGUUUUCGGAUUGUAAACUUCUUUUCUUGGGGAAGAUAAUGACGGUACCCGAGGAAUAAGCUCCGGCUAACUACGUG
rnacentral:rRNA from 1 species